rnacentral:rRNA from 1 species
GAUGAACGCUGGCGGCGUGCCUAAUACAUGCAAGUCGAGCGAACAGACGAGGAGCUUGCUCCUCUGACGUUAGCGGCGGACGGGUGAGUAACACGUGGAUAACCUACCUAUAAGACUGGGAUAACUUCGGGAAACCGGCGCUAAUACCGGAUAAUAUAUUGAACCGCAUGGUUCAAUAGUGAAAGACGGUUUUGCUGUCACUUAUAGAUGGAUCCGCGCCGCAUUAGCUAGUUGGUAAGGUAACGGCUUACCAAGGCAACGAUGCGUAGCCGACCUGAGAGGGGGAUCGGCCGCACUGGAACGGAGACACGGUCCAGACUCCUACGGGAGGCAGCAGUAGGGAAUCUUCCGCAAUGGGCGAAAGCUUGACGGAGCAACGCCGCGUGAGUGAUGAAGGUCUUCGGAUCGUAAAACUCUGUUAUUAGGGAAGAACAGAUGUGUAAGUAACUAUGCACGUCUUGACGGUACCUAAUCAGAAAGCCACGGCUAACUACGUG